UGCUAGUGGACUGAGAUAAAGCACUUGUAUGUAAUUUUACUGAUAUAAAGCAUGUGAUGUUAUCCUCAAGAGCUGAAAAGUAUCUUUACGAGAUGGAUUUUAUCUUUAUAAGCUAAAUGCUUUUUUUUUAUAUUUUGUGUGUCAGACUGCAAUUUUUGGAACGCGCGCCACUGUUCAAUUUUAAUGUGUGCUCAUUCUUUUAUUCAUUUUCAAACUGUAACUUGAUAUUAUGACCAGCACUUGUGUUAUAGCCCCGGUCCCAUCACAUCCAGAAUGUACAUGUUUUGUAGCAUCGUAGUUGUAUGUAUGUACAGACAUUUUUUUUUUUUCAUAUUUUAGUCACUUUUUUAAGGCAAUAUUUUUUAACAGAUUAAUUUUAUGAAUAUAUUUUCUGACCAAUAAAACUCGGUGAAAUAAAAAUAUUACUUGAAACAUUAU